rnacentral:lncRNA from 9 species
UGCAGCAGAUGCCCUCACCUUCCUAUUCUCUCCUUCUUAUAUUUUUUAGAUGCUUCUUGUUGGAUACAUUUAAUGGAAAGCUGGAGAGUAAGGCAUCUGAAGGAUGGAGAAUGUCAUCAAUGGAGUUUAGCCUCUUGGGACACAAAGCAUAUCGGACAAGAAAUGGUCGUGCUCAUAGGAAACAUCCUGAGCAGGUGCUCCUGUGAAUGACUACAAAAAUGAAGAAAUUAACACAUCCCCUCCAGAGUCUGACCAGAACAAGGAAAUAUUUGCAGCAACUUUUUUUUACCUUACCCUUUCCUCACCUUGCCCCUCUUUGUUCUAUAAAAGACAAUAGCACCCAAACCAGGGUGAAGUAGUUCUUUGGGAUACUAGUCCACCAUAGUCUGGGUCGGCUGGCUAUCCUAAUAAAGUUACUGUUCCUUCCUCCAACCUUUCAUCUCUCUAUUUAUUGGCUGGUCAUGCGGCAAGCAGUAUGAGCUUUGAUUUGGUAAAAGUAAUAAGUCCAUAGAUAACCUCCCUCAUUUUCAUCUUUAUUUUGUCAAACUCUACAAUAUUUGACAACAGAGAGUUUUAACUGCUUAAAAUUCUAUCUUCCCCACUUAGCACCUUACUCUUCUGGUGUUCUUGAUAUUUCCUAGAUAUGCCCUGGAGUUAUUAAAAAAUCUCAGGGUUUGCUGACAUUUAUUCUGUAAUAUUUACCUCUGUAAGUAUAUAAUUUUGGAGGAAGCAAGCCUGUUUGGUUUUAAUGCUACCAUUAUUUUUGUCGUGAGUAUCAAACUAACCUCAAAAACCAUUUCCCUUUCCCACAUGUUUUAUCUAUCAAUUUACUAUUCACAACAUCUCUGUUAUAAUCUUUUCAUUGGAAUUCACAGUGGCAUACAAAAUGCUUGCACAAUGUGGUACCUCCCUGUCUUCCCAACUUCAUCUUUUUCCUUUUCCCAAAACUCACUCAGCUCAACUCUAAGAAAAUCCUUAAAGUUCUUCAAGCAUGUGUAUGCAAG